GACGAACGCUGGCGGCGCGCCUAACACAUGCAAGUCGAACGAGCGAGCGAGAGCUUGCUUUCUCGAGCGAGUGGCGAACGGGUGAGUAACGCGUGAGGAACCUGCCUCAAAGAGGGGGACAACAGUUGGAAACGACUGCUAAUACCGCAUAAGCCCACGGCUCGGCAUCGAGCAGGGGGAAAAGGAGCAAUCCGCUUUGAGAUGGCCUCGCGUCCGAUUAGCUAGUUGGUGAGGUAACGGCCCACCAAGGCGACGAUCGGUAGCCGGACUGAGAGGUUGAACGGCAACAUUGGGACUGAGACACGGCCCAGACUCCUACGGGAGGCAGCAGUGGGGAAUAUUGCACAAUGGGGGAAACCCUGAUGCAGCGACGCCGCGUGGAGGAAGAAGGUCUUCGGAUUGUAAACUCCUGUUGUUGGGGAAGAUAAUGACGGUACCCAACAAGGAAGUGACGGCUAACUACGUG
rnacentral:rRNA from 1 species